rnacentral:rRNA from 1 species
CACGUAGGCACCAAGCGUUGUCCGGAUUUAUUGGGCGUAAAGAGCUCGUAGGCGGUUCAGUAAGUCGGGUGUGAAAACUCUGGGCUUAACCCAGAGACGCCACCCGAUACUGUUGAACUUGAGUUCGGUAGGGGAGCGGGGAAUUCCUGGUGUAGCGGUGAAAUGCGCAGAUAUCAGGAGGAACACCGGUGGCGAAGGCGCCGCUCUGGGCCGAAACUGACGCUGAGGAGCGAAAGCGUGGGUAGCAAACAGG